GCCGAUGUGGCGGAAUGGCUUACGCGAUCGCCUCAAAAGCGAUUGUCCCUUGCGGACGUGUGGGUUCGAGUCCCACCAUCGGCA
rnacentral:tRNA from 1 species